GUGUACCAACCGUACACUGCGGUUCCUCCGCGCCAUCCACACCCAACUGACGACUGCUCGCGACGUUCGUCAGCC
rnacentral:sRNA from 1 species